rnacentral:rRNA from 1 species
UACGUAGGGCGCAAGCGUUGUCCGGAAUUAUUGGGCGUAAAGAGCUCGUAGGCGGUUUGUCGCGUCUGUCGUGAAAGCUUGGGGCUUAACCCCAAGUCUGCGGUGGAUACGGGCAGACUAGAGGCAGGUAGGGGAGAACGGAAUUCACGGUGUAGCAGUGAAAUGCGUAGAUAUCGUGAGGAAGACCAGUUGCGAAGGCGGAUCUCUGGGCAGUUCCUGACACUGAGGCACGAAGGCCAGGGGAGCAAACAGG